rnacentral:rRNA from 1 species
UACGUAGGGUGCUAGCGUUGUCCGGAUUUAUUGGGCGUAAAGGGCUCGUAGGCGGCGUGUCGCGUCGGGAGUGAAAGCCCGCUGCUUAACGGCGGGUUGGCUUCCGGUACGGGCAUCGCUGGAGUGCGGCAGGGGAGACUGGAAUUCCUGGUGUAGCGGUGGAAUGCGCAGAUAUCAGGAAGAACACCCGUGGCUAAGGCGGUUCUCUAGUACGGUACUGACGCUGAGACGCGAAAGCGUGGGGAGCGAGCAGG